rnacentral:rRNA from 1 species
AUGGCUGGGGAUAGUGUGUGUGAGAUCUGCGGGAGAUGGAAUGAAGAUGAGCACCGCGCUGUUAUCGCAUGCACCAGAAUCUUGGCCCUCCGGCAAGGACUAAGACCCUACUGGCAGUUGCCAAAGGAAUCUGAUCUUACAUACACGGGCGAGGACUGGUUACAACUGUUGCUACUAUCCCAGGGAGAAGAAGCCAGGACCAAGCUAAUGCUAAUUAUGUGGCAAGCUUGGAGUCUUAGAAACAAUGUAAUCCAUGGUGAUGGAAAAGACACGGUGUCAGACUCGGUGCAAUUCUUACUGAGGCUACAUGACGAGAUACAGAGGGCGGUGGAAAAUCCCUUGAAUGAAGGAGAUAAAUGCAAAAGGGCUCUUUUCCCAUCCAAACCCUGCAUGCCGACCAUUUCUGAACCUAGGGUGUGGAGAGGCCCUCCCCCGGACAGUGUUAAGUUAAACACCGACGCGGCCUUCCUUGCGGAAACGGGUGAAGCAUGGGGCGGGGCAGUUGCCAGAGACGAUAAGGGCCACGUUUUCUUAUCGGUGGGAAGAAAGUUACCCUAUUGCAGCUCUGUAGAAGAGGCAGAAGCUACGACUGCAGAGAUGGGGUUAAAGGAAUUCGCCAAGUAUUUCAACAGGAAUCUGAUCCUAGAGACGGAUUGCGCGAGCCUAGCUCGGGACCUGAAUGGAAAGGAGAAAUGCAGAGCAGCUUGUCAUGCCAGUAUUUCUUAUAUCAAAGGGCUCCUCCAGGGCUUCUCGCGAACGGAAGUUAGUGCCGUCACAAGGGAGAAGAACAUGCUGGCACAUGAACUGGCAUCGAGGGCAAGGGCGUGA